CCUACGGGUGGCAGCAGUGAGGAAUAUUGGGCAAUGGACGAGAGCCUGAAGCAGCAAAGUAGCGUGAAGGAUGACUGCCCUAUGGGUUGUAAACUUCUUUUAUAGGGGGAUAAAAUGUGCCACGUGUGGGAUUUUGUAUGUACCAUAUGAAUAAAGCUGGGCUAACUCCUUGCCAGCAGCCGGGGUAAUACGGAGGAUCCGAGCGUUAUCCGGUUUUAUUGGGUUUAAAGGGAGCGUAGGUGGAUUGUUAAGUCAGUUGUGAAAGUUUGCGGCUCAACCGUAAAAUUGCAGUGGAUACUGGCGGUGUUGAGUGCAGUAGAGGUGGGCGGAAUUCGUGGUGUAGCGGUGAAAUGCUUAGAUAUCACGAAGAACUCCGAUUGCGAAGGCAGUUCACUGGACUGUAACUGACACUGAGGCUCGAAAGUGUGGGUAUCAAACAGGAUUAGAUACCCGUGUAGUC
rnacentral:rRNA from 1 species